rnacentral:rRNA from 1 species
AUUGAACGCUAGCGGGAUGCCUUACACAUGCAAGUCGAACGGAGUGGCGAACGGGUGAGUAAUGUAUCGGAACGUGCCCAGUAGCGGGGGAUAACUACGCGAAAGCGUAGCUAAUACCGCAUACUAUUUGAGCGGCCGGUAUCGGAUUAGCUCGGUGGUGGGGUAACGGGUCACCAAGGCGACGAUCCGGAGCUGGUUUGCGAGGACGACAAGCCAAACUGGGACUGAGGCACGGCCCAGACUCCUACGGGAGGAAGCAGUGGGGAAUUUUGGACAAUGGGGGAAACCCUGAUCCAGCCAUCCCGCGUGGGCGAGGAAGGCCUUCGGGUUGUAAAGCACUUUUGGCAGGACAGCGGUACCUGCAGAAUAAGCACCGGCUAACUACGUGCCAGCAGCCGCGGUAAUUC